rnacentral:rRNA from 1 species
CCUACGGGAGGCAGCAGUAGGGAAUUUUCGUCAAUGGGCGCAAGCCUGAACGAGCAAUGCCGCGUGAACGAGGAAGGUCCUCGGAUCGUAAAGUUCUGUUGAAGGGGAAAAAGAGCGGAGAGAGGAAAUGGUCUCCGAUUGAUAUUACCCUUCGAGGAAGUCACGGCUAACUCCGUGCCAGCAGCCGCGGUAAUACGUAGGUGGCGAGCGUUAUCCGGAAUGAUUGGGCGUAAAGGGUGCGUAGGCGGCCUGCUAAGUGUGGAGUGAAAGGGACCGGCUCAACCGGUACAGGGUCUUGUAACUGGCGGGCUAGAGGGGAGGAGAGGGCGGUGGAACUGCAUGGGUAGCGGUAAAAUUCGUAGGUAUAUGG